GGUGGCUCAGUGGUAGAGCGCUUGCCUCGCAUGCAUGAGGCACUGGGUUUGAUUCCCCAGCACCA
rnacentral:tRNA from 1 species